CAAGCUCUUGGUGUUAAUGCACUCAGAAGUUAAACAGAGAGAAACAGAAAAGUAACGCACUAAAGGCUGACUGCCCUAGAAAGGCCUCAGUCAAAGCAGGACUGUGCGAUAGAUACAUUUUCAGAAGCGAGUAAUCAGUGCUAAUACAAUAAAGAUGAGAUCACAAAAGAACCAUGUAUUUCAAGAAAAAUAAGCUCAUGAACUCUUUCUAUGGUGAGAUUUCAUUUCAGAUGAGGCUGCAAAACUGUGUGAUAUUACCCUCUCUACAAGUUGGGUAAGGCACUGUGGAAUCCAUUGCUGUAAAUAAACCUCAUUGAGGGAAAUCCUCGUGUAACCACAAAAAGAUCUUUGCCUCUCCUCACCACGUGAAUUUAUUUAAGUUUCAUCAAAUCAGUAAGAGCAUAUGUCCAAUUCCUAUUAAUUCAAAAUCAGAGAAAAGAAUAGCAGCAUUCAGGAUUACCCAGAAUAAGUGAAAUCAAUUUUCUCAAAGUCCAAACUCUGUUUCCUUUAACACUAGCCAGUAGGCCAUCUCCCACCAGCUGUUCCAUCUUGAUUUCUCUUCCUGUCCUGUGCAGAAGAGGGAGAGCCCAGGUAGUUGAAUAGCCACGAGACAAAUCUCAUCCAGCAAACCUGGCUUCACCUUCACAUUGUUCCUCAACCGUAGGUUGAUUUUUCCU
rnacentral:lncRNA from 7 species